CGAGCGCACCCUUGUCCUCAGUUACCAGCACGUUAUGGUGGGCACUCUGGGGAGACUGCCGGUGACAAACCGGAGGAAGGUGGGGACGACGUCAAGUCAUCAUGGCCCUUACGGCCAGGGCUACACACGUGCUACAAUGGUGCAUACAGACGGUUGCCAAGCCGCGAGGUGGAGCUAAUCUGAGAAAGCGCAUCGUAGUCCGGAUUGGAGUCUGCAACUCGACCCCAUGAAGUCGGAAUCGCUAGUAAUCGUGAAUCAGAAUGUCACGGUGAAUACGUUCCCGGGCCUU
rnacentral:rRNA from 1 species